GUGCUCGCUUCAGGAGCACAUAUACUAAAAUUAGAACAAUACAGAGAAGAUUAGCAUGGCCUUUGUGAAAGAAUGACACUCAAAUUCCUGAAGCACUCCAUAUUUUU
ensembl:snRNA U6 U6 spliceosomal RNA